rnacentral:rRNA from 1 species
GACAGAGGGUGCAAACGUUGUUCGGAAUUACUGGGCGUAAAGCGUGUGUAGGCGGCCGUGCAAGUCGGAUGUGAAAUCCCCGGGCUCAACCCGGGAAGUGCACCCGAAACUGCAGGGCUCGAGUACCGGAGAGGUUGGUGGAAUUCUCGGUGUAGAGGUGAAAUUCGUAGAUAUCGAGAGGAACACCGGUGGCGAAGGCGGCCAACUGGACGAGUACUGACGCUGAGACACGAAAGCGUGGGGAGCAAACAGG